GACGAACGCUGGCGGCGUGCCUAAUACAUGCAAGUAGAACGCUGAAGGAGGAGCUUGCUCUUCUGGAUGAGUUGCGAACGGGUGAGUAACGCGUAGGUAACCUGCCUGGUAGCGGGGGAUAACUAUUGGAAACGAUAGCUAAUACCGCAUAACAGUAGAUGUUGCAUGACAUUUGCUUAAAAGGUGCAAUUGCACCACUACCAGAUGGACCUGCGUUGUAUUAGCUAGUUGGUGGGGUAACGGCUCACCAAGGCGACGAUACAUAGCCGACCUGAGAGGGGGAUCGGCCACACUGGGACUGAGACACGGCCCAGACUCCUACGGGAGGCAGCAGUAGGGAAUCUUCGGCAAUGGACGGAAGUCUGACCGAGCAACGCCGCGGGAGUGAAGAAGGGUUUCGGAUCGUAAAGCUCUGUUGUAAGAGAAGAACGAGUGUGAGAGUGGAAAGUUCACACUGUGACGGUAUCUUACCAGAAAGGGACGGCUAACUACGUG
rnacentral:rRNA from 1 species